ACUCCUACGGGAGGCAGCAGUGGGGAAUAUUGGACAAUGGGGGAAACCCUGAUCCAGCAAUGCCGCGUGAGUGAUGAAGGCCUUAGGGUUGUAAAGCUCUUUUACCAGGGAUGAUAAUGACAGUACCUGGAGAAUAAGCUCCGGCUAACUCCGUGCCAGCAGCCGCGGUAAUACGGAGGGAGCUAGCGUUGUUUCGGAAUUUACUGGGCGUAAAGCGCACGUAGGCGGUUACUCAAGUCAGAGGUGAAAGCCCGGGCUCAACCCGGAACUGCCUUUGAAACUAGGUAACUAGAAUCCUGGAGAGGUGAGUGGAAUUCCGAGUGUAGAAGGGUGAAAAUUCGUAGAUAUUCGGAAGAACACCAGUGGCGAAGGCGGCUCACUGGACAGGUAUUGACGCU
rnacentral:rRNA from 1 species